rfam:Helianthus annuus linkage group 3, whole genome shotgun sequence.
UAAUGCGUUUUGGGCGCAUUGACUCUGGAUCUUAUCAAAAAUCCAUAGUUAAGUGUGCUCAGGUGAGAGUAGUACCAAGAUGGGCGACCUUCUGCGAAGUCUCAUCCCUGGC